rnacentral:lncRNA from 1 species
AUGGAAAACUGCAAUUGGAACGCCACUGUCUCUAGAGCAGCCGGCUCAUCCCGAACACCAAGGCGCGCCACGCCCUUCGAGCCUACCCCGCCCUGCAGUGGUGCACCUCGGAUCACUUUGAGGGAGUGGCCUGGGUGGCGCUUGGCCUCCGAAACAAGUUUUGACGUCUUCUCUAAUUUCUGGCUCUUCGUUGACAUGGUUAUUUUGAAAAGAAAGGGGAUCUUCCUGAUCCAAGAUCGAACCCGCAUUGCUUGCAUCGCUGGCAAAUUCGUACCACUCAGCCACAGGGGAGGCGCCUCACAGAUGCACAGACACAGUGUCACCCAGGGAUGCUCUGCCUUCUCAUUGCAGCUCUCAUACUGGAGAUAAGCAUUCUUCCCAUGAUGUCUUUGGUACUCCAUUUAUGCUUUUUCUUGGUGAUUUUGUGGUCCAAACAGGCCUCCAAACCUGGUGCCUAUGUGCCACCUGGUGUUCCUAAGCACAGAGAAUGCGCCUUAAAGAAAAUACGUAAUGGGUUAGCAUUGUUCAGUCAUGAACCACUGUUGUUGGCCAUGAUUUCAAUGUUAACAAAUCAACAGUAUAUAGUAAAUGAGUUGCUUAAAAAAAAAAAACAGGAAAACAAUGUUAUUUACUGACUAGUGGACAACAAUUUGUGACCAGAGGCUCUCAGGAAAUUAAUUCUGUUAUUUCCCCUAGAAACAAUGGUUGUGCAUCUAUUAACUCAGUGAAUUACAGACAGAAGAUGACUGUUGUGAAUGACAACUAACUGUACUUCAGUAAAGCUGUUUUGCUUUUUAAACACACUCUUAAAAUGUGUAGCUUCCUCGUUUACUCUGCUUUGCUAUUACAUAGAUGCUCUUGAAGUUACCCUUGUCUGCUGCAGCAUUACAGAGUCGACAGGAUAUAAUGCAGCNNNNNNNNNNNNNNNNNNNNNNNNNNNNNNNNNNNNNNNNNNNNNNNNNNNNNNNNNNNNNNNNNNNNNNNNNNNNNNNNNNNNNNNNNNNNNNNNNNNGUUACCCUUGUCUGCUGCAGCAUUACAGAGUCGACAGGAUAUAAUGCAGCACCUUCUCUGCAUCUCUGUCUCUUCUCAGGUUGCCACGGCAAAAUCCGACUAGGUGGCUUCAAGCGAUGUACGUUCUCAUAUUUCUAGAGGCUGGAAGUCUGAGGCCAAGGUGCCAUCAGGAUUGCUGUGUCAUUAAAUGGCCUUUCCUCUGUUCAAAACUACAGAGAACAAGCAAGCCCCUUCUGGGGUCUGGUCUUCUUAUAAGGACACAGUCACACUAGGAGGCCAUUCUCGUGACCGCAUUUGUCUUAAUCAUCCAUCUCCUCGUAGGCGACAGCUAAAAGGUUCCAUUGGGUGUUGGUGCCUGAACGUACAAAUUUUGACGGGCACAAUUCAGUCUAUAACAGACUGACCAAUAUUAUAUAAUGGUCUUUAUUCCUUGUGAACGUUCUGGUACUUUGGCAGACUAGGGUUAAAGGUAAAGGACUUCUAUUCACUAAACUCGAAGGUCUUACUCUAAUGUGAACUUUCUGGUGAUUAAUGAGGUUAGAGCUCUGGCUAAAAGACUUCUCAUAUUCUACACCCAUAAGGCCUUUCUCCAGUGUGACCUCUUUGACGCUUAAUGAGGUUAGAACUGUCACUGAAGGCUCUGACACUCGCUACACUCAUAAGGCCUUUCUCCAGUGUGAAUUCUCCAGUGCUGAAACAGUGUCAAGCUAUGGCUAAAUGAUUUCCCACACUGCCCACAAUCAUAAGGCUUUGCCCCAGUGUGAACUCUAUAGUGUGAAAUGAGGUAAGAUUCGCAGCUAAAGGACUUUCCAUAUUGACUACAUUCAAAUGGCCUUUCUCCAGUGUGAACUUUCUGAUGUUUAAAGAGGUUGAACAAGCUGGUACACAUCCAUCACAUGAGACCUUAAACAAGUGUGAACUCUGUGGUGAUGGAGCAGGUGGCUGAAGGAGAUAAAGAAUUUCACACUCACUGCACUCAUAAGGCCUUUCUUCAGUGUGAACUCCUUGCGGAAUAAUGACGUGAGAGCUCUGGCUAAGAUUUCCGACAUUCAGUGCAUUCAUAAGGCCUUAUCCUAGUAAGAAUUCUCUGGUGAGUAAUGAGGUCAGACUUAUAGCUAAAGAUUUUCCCACAUUCACUGCAAUCAUAUGGCUUUUAACCAGGGGAAACUUUCUGAUGCAUGCUGCUGCUGCUGCUGCUAAGUCGCUUCAGUCGUGUCCGACUCU